rnacentral:rRNA from 1 species
AGUUUGAUCAUGGCUCAGAUUGAACGCUGGCGGGAUGCUUUACACAUGCAAGUCGAACGGCAGCACGGACUUCGGUCUGGUGGCGAGUGGCGAACGGGUGAGUAAUGUAUCGGAACGUGCCUAGUAGCGGGGGAUAACUACGCGAAAGCGUAGCUAAUACCGUACAUGCCCUCUGGGGAAAGCGGGGACCUUCGGGCCUCGCACUAUUAGAGCGGCCGAUAUCGGAUUAGCUAGUUGGUGGGUAACGGCUCACCAAGGCGACGACCCGUAGCUGGUUUGAGAGGACACGCGACCAGCCACACUGGGACUGAGACACGGCCCAGACUCCUACGGGAGGCAGCAGUGGGGAAUUUUGACAAUGGGGAGAAAACCCUGAUCUGGCCAUCCGCGUGUGCGACAAAGGCCUUCGGGGCUAAAGCACUUUGGCAGGAAAGAAACGGCACGGGGAUAAUACCCCGUGCAACUGACGGUACCUGCAGAAUAAGCACCGGCUAAUCCAUGCGCCAGCAGCCGCGGUAAUACGUAGGGUGCAAGCGUUAAUCGGAAUUACUGGGCGUAAAGCGUGCGCAAGGCGGCUCGGAAAGAAAGAUGUGAAAUCCCAGAGCUUAAACUUUGAACUGCAUUUUUAACUACCGAGCUGCAGAUGUCGGGGAGGGAGGGAAUUCCGCGUGUAGCAGUGAAAUGCGUAGAUAUGCGGAGGAACACCGAUGGCGAAGGCAGCCUCCUGGGAUAACACUGAUGCUCAUGCACGAAAGUGGGGAGCAAACAGGAUUAGAUACUCCGGUAGUCCACGCCCUAAACGAUGUCAACUAGCUUACGGGGCCUUCGGCCUGGUAGCGCAGCUAACGGGGUUGACCGCCUGGGGAGUACGGCUGCAGAUUAAACCGUACGAAUUGAUUUCGACCCGCAAGCAAGCGUGGAUGAUGCGGGAUUAACUAAUGCAACGCGAAACCACUCACCCUUGAUAUUCAACCCGGAAGAGAUUUGGGAGUGCUCGCAAGAGAACCGGAACGAGGUAAGGUGGUAAUAUUGUCGUCAGUCAAAUGUAGAUGUUGAAGUUAAGUCCGCAACGAGCGGCAACCUCUGUCAUUAGUUGCUACGAAAGGGCACUCUAAUGAGAUUCGCCGGUGACAAACCGGAGGAGCGUGAUGACAAGUCCUCAUGGCCCUUAUGGGUAGGUCACACAAUGUCAUACAAUGGUCGGGACAGAGGGUCGCCAACCCGCGAGGGGGAGCCAAUCCCAGAAACCCGAUCGUAGUCCGGAUCGCAGUCUGCAACUCGACUGCGUGAAGUCGGAAUCGCUAGUAAUCGCGGAUCAGCAUGUCGCGGUGAAUACGUUCCCGGGUCUGUACACCGCCCGUCACACCAGGAGUGGUUUUACCAGAAGUAGUUAGCCUAACCGUAAGGAGGGCGAUUACCACGGUAGGAUUCAUGACUGGGGUAGUCGUAACAAGGUAA